CACGUAGGGCGCAAGCGUUGUCCGGAAUUAUUGGGCGUAAAGAGCUCGUAGGCGGUCUGUUGCGUCCGCUGUGAAAUCUCGGGGCUUAACCCCGAGCCUGCAGUGGAUACGGGCAGACUAGAGGUAGGUAGGGGAGAAUGGAAUUCCUGGUGUAGCGGUGAAAUGCGCAGAUAUCAGGAGGAACACCAAUUGCGAAGGCAGCUCGCUGGGACGUUACUGACGCUGAGACGCGAAAGCGUGGGGAGCAAACAGG
rnacentral:rRNA from 1 species